ensembl:rRNA 5S_rRNA 5S ribosomal RNA
AUCUGUGCCCAUACCACCCUGAGCAUGCCUGAUUUCAUAAACUAAGUAGGGUUGGGCCCAGUUAAGAUUGGGAUAGGAAGAGGAGAAGUGGAAGGCAUCUCUU